rnacentral:rRNA from 1 species
GAUGAACGCUAGCGGCAGGCUUAAUACAUGCAAGUCGAGGGGCAUCAAGGUACACGAAAGUGUAUUGUUGGCGACCGGCGGACGGGUGAGUAAUAGGUAGGUAACCUACCUCAUACUGAGGCAUAGCUGGGAGAAAUUCCAGGUAAUUCCUCAUGAGGUUAUAUGACACAUGUGAUAUAAUCAAAGGUAUCGCAAGGUACUGGUAUGAGAUGGGCUUACUGACCAUUAGCUAGUUGGUGAGAUAAGAGCUCACCAAGGCGAAGAUGGUUAGGGGUUUUGAGAGAGAGAUCCCCCACAUUGGAACUGAGAUACGGUCCAGACUCCUACGGGAGGCAGCAGUAGGGAAUAUUGGGCAAUGGGCGGAAGCCUGACCCAGCCAUGCCGCGUGAAGGAAGACGGCCUUAUGGGUUGUAAACUUUCUUUACUAUGCGACUAACUAGAUUUACGAGAUAAUUCUAUAGAAUGUAGCAUAGACAAAAGCACCGGCUAACC